rnacentral:lncRNA from 1 species
GAAUUUACAAUUAUCACAAUAAUACCUAGUAUCUAACUUUUUCCCAUUUUUUCCAUAUAUUCCUUUUUUCUUUGGAUCAUUUUUUUCAACUUCUUUUUCAGCCUUCUUUGCAAACAUGGCAGUAGCAUCCCCUCCCAAUUUUUCUUUGGUAUUACUUUUAUGUUUUUCUUCUUGUAUAACUAAACAAAAAACUUGACUCAUUGAUGGGAGUUCGGGAUAAGCCAAUAUUUGACUCCUAAGAGUCAUGAAUUCAUCAUUCAAUCCUAGCAAGAAUUGAUGAACUCUAUCUUUUUCAAUCUUCCUAUUGUAAAUUGAUAUGCAUGAAGAACAAAAAUUGCACUCAGGUUUUUCAAUUUCUAUAAAUUGAUCCCAUA